rnacentral:rRNA from 1 species
AUUGAACGCUGGCGGCAGGCCUAACACAUGCAAGUCGAGCGGAUGAAGGGAGCUUGCUCCUGGAUUCAGCGGCGGACGGGUGAGUAAUGCCUAGGAAUCUGCCUGGUAGUGGGGGAUAACGUCCGGAAACGGGCGCUAAUACCGCAUACGUCCUGAGGGAGAAAGUGGGGGAUCUUCGGACCUCACGCUAUCAGAUGAGCCUAGGUCGGAUUAGCUAGUUGGUGAGGUAAAGGCCUACCAAGGCGACGAUCCGUAACUGGUCUGAGAGGAUGAUCAGUCACACUGGAACUGAGACACGGUCCAGACUCCGACGGGAGUCAGCAGUAGGGUAUCUUACGCAAUGGGCGAAAGCCUGACGGAGCAACGCCGCGUGAGUGAUGAAGGUCUUCGGAUCGUAAAACUCUGUUAUUAGGGAAGAACAAAUGGGUAAGUAACUAUGCACGUCUUGACGGUACCUAAUCAGAAGGCCACGGCUAACUACGUG